ACAACACUCCCACAUUGACCGAAUGUGCAGUUGUUCUUGUGUGCCUGGCUGUCAGUAUCUUCGUCUUCUAUCACACCUACAAACAUCGUCACAUCAAAGGCCACAAGAAGAAACAUUAGUUUGUCGUCCUUCCCUCAAGCACAGUGCCUGUACCUGAAAAAAACACACCCGUAGACGUUAUUCCAAACCUAUUUUGCUCCCCUUGUCUGAUUAGCCAGUUGUCCGUAGCUACAUUCCUAUCUUAACAUGACGGCUGAGUUUCCUGAUCUGUCUCACUCGCACUGGAGAAACCCCCCGUAUGAA